CCAACUUUGUCAAUUGAACCUGAAAACACAUGAAAAUAGCUUAAAACACUCUAACAAGUAGAAAUUAGCUAUGUAAAUGUAAGAACUAAGUCGCAUAAAUAUGCUCCUAUCACACCCCAACUUCUACACUAGGCAGUUGGGGUUUAGACAAGCUAUCAAUGUACCCUUUUUCGAUUCAGUUCACUGUAACACUUUAUAUAGUCUCCGUUCUCUACUAUAACUUACAUUCCAAACUACCCGAAUGAGUCUUGAGGUUAUAAGCAGAAUCGCCAGAAAACCCAUGACCCUCAAUUUUGAAUGUACUUCAAGCUUUUCUUAUUGGUGGGAAUCAAAGUGGACCAAGAAGUAUGGAGGAGACUUGCACAAAGCACAUAACCGCCUCUUCAAGCAACUUACAAUCAAAUCCUAUCCAAAGCCAAGUGAAUUUGAAGAUUGGAAGGAGAUGAUUCAUCAGAAGAACCAACUACUUCUAAUAGCCCAAGGCAAUUCCACAGAGCUGGACGUCGGGCAAGAUGAAGAUACUGCAGACGCCUUUGUGCUCUAAGAAGUUGCAGCUAAGGCAGAGAGACGAGGUGCUGGAGCAGGUGGAGACAUCUUCGAGCUUCUUGGAGACUCGGAGGGCAAGAUUAAGCCCGUAGUGGAGACUUAGGCAACGCAUCGGACUCGGGCAAUAGUAGUGGAGACUUCAGAGUCUAAGCUUGAAGAGUAGCCUCGGGCUCAACUCUCCAUCCCUGGUCCGUGGGCAAACCCCACCAAGAAGAGGACAAGAGCUCAGACUUCCAAACCAUCCAAGUCUUCUACUUUAAUGGCUGAGGGCCCCAAGCAACCAAGAAACCUACUGUUGUUUCCAUGGAUGAUUCUCUGGGGGCCGAGAUGUAUCAACAAGCCAAUGAUUUGCAAGAUUCUACCCUUGAAGCAUUGGAGGCCAUAAGAGAAGAAAGGAUAACUCUGCCUAAGACCUCUUCACUUCAUGCCCAAGAGGCACAUGCUUCUCUUUCUAGGGCUAAACCUUCCAACAUAUGUUUCUUCUCUAUUCUUUAAACUUGUAUCUUCACCUAAUUCAGAGAUUUAACUUCUACUUUUACUUUUGUAGGGCAAGGUGGGAAUAGCUGCACCCUCUAUCGGGCAAAGUUCCAUUCCUUUGGUGGUGACUCCAACUUCGCAGUUUGAUCCAUCCACUGGGGAGAUGUUGCACUUCGUGAAGGAUGACAAUAAUCUAAUGAGUACCUCAUCUUGAUAUGUUUAUGCUUAAAGCCCUCUCCCUCUUUUAUACUUAUUUUCUUUUACUUUUUUCAGUCCUCUCUAGCACAAAAAUCUCAUCGACCAGUAGCAUCUGCUUUUGGGGAUCCUAUAGUUCCUGAGAUCCUCAUGGUUUCAGAGGCAACUAGUCUGAGGGUUUCUCGGGCAACUUUUCCUGAUGUAGUUGCUGUUCCCAAAGUGUUCAUCUCUUAACCUUAAGCUCCAUCUCAGGCAUAUUAUUAUUUAAACUUUUGCUUUCUGUUUUCUGCAAACUAUAUUAUUGACACUUGUCUUUUCCUUUGUCACUUGUAGGCUUCUGUUGAAGGUUCGGGCAAUAUCUCCCCUUCUCCCAUAAACAAGGAUGAUUCUUCUCAACAACCAAGUGUCCUCACUCCUCCUCCUUCUUCUUCCAAGGCUUUAGGCUCCACUCAGGGUCUUUGAAAAGGCUCGAGCAGAUCUCCUCUGCCUUUAGUGGGCAAGGCAGAUCUUCCAAGGCCUCCCUUGGCCUCUGGGGUGAUGGGGAUUCCCAUUCCUUGGCCUAAGAAGAAGACCAAAGUUGCUGCCACUACUUUCUUUUCUGCUCCUACUCCUGAGAUCCUUCAUCAUCCGUCAAUUGGAACUGUCCUUCUCAUAUUACUGAAGAGAUGCCCCCAACCACAUCAAUAGCAUCAUUACCCGAACUUAUCAAGAAGUUCGGGUAAAUCAAGACUAAGCUACAAUCUCAUCCACCUUUAGCCAAGUCUCCCCUUCUCCAAAAUGCUCGUUAAAUUUUCAACGAUUGGAUGAAGAGGGAUUUCACAGCUUCUUUCAACCUUAAGGUUCUUCAUGAUGCUAAGAAGGCCCUUAUCGAGGUAUACAAAGCUCAGUUACUGUUAAAGGCUCAAUACGAGUCAUUUGUUAAUUUCUUUGAGAAUCAGUGGGCACUGAGGGACCAGUAUUAAAAAGCGGGGCGAGUAUCCAACAUAGUGAAGUGCUUUCAAGAGAAACAUAUGAAGACCUCAGCCACUCUUUAGCAGUUGGUGGAGGAAUAAUCAAUUAUGAAAGAUAGGAUUGCAAUGGUUGACGCUGAGAUUCAAUGACUGGAAGAGCAACUUCCUUCUUUGAAGGAUGAGAAGAUGACCCUUGCUACUCACCUCUUCCAGAAAACAGAAGAAAUGGAGAAGAUUUCUCGAGAAGUGGAGGAUUCAAAGGCCCAACUUACCAAUAGCAAUAUGUAUCUAGGAGAACUAAGCCGAAUUUUCACCAUUAGGCAAACUUAUUAUUCCAGAAUAGUUGCCUUGGCUGAGGAUGCAAAGUUGUUAGGCUAGGAUCUCUUGUAAUUCUUUUUACAUGAAAUGAAAUGUACUUCUUCUUCA